AUACUAUAAUCGGUACACACUACACAGUUGACAGUACACAGAGGCGGAGGCGACAGUUCGACAGAGCACUCAGAGCAGGGCAGCAGGCUCCGAUCGACCGAUAAGCUGUCAAAUCAAACUCAGGUUCCACGGCUUUGGUAAUACUAAUACCAGUUAAUACCCAUAUGGGUGAAAUGUGGUGAUAGUGGUGAUACACAUACGUCAUCGAUACCAUUUACAAUGGAAGCAGAAAUUGAACUACACUUUUUAAAAAAAUUCCAAUUUAAACAACUUGUACAAAGUUCUUGGUCCUGCAGAAAUCCAUUCGGUAAUUGUUCAUGGAAGAUUCCAGAAUUGGAAAGUUUGAAAUAUCAUUUAAAUUGUACCAAAGGUCUUUUAAGUCAUAUGGAAGCAUCAACAUGGCAUGACCAUACAAAUUACACCAACCAUGCAGCUGAUAUUUUCCACAAAGUUAAAUGUGAUAUUAAUCCAGAGCUAUUAACACAGGCCUGGUUGAAGUUUUAUGAAUGUCUGGCUCAGUUUGAUUUAGUUGGUGAACUACCUCAGCAUAGUUCUGUGUUUCAAAGUGUUCAUUUGUGUGAAGCUCCAGGAGCCUUUAUUACAUCCUUGAAUCAUUUUCUUCAAUUACGCUAUCCAUUUUUGGAGCUGAAAUGGUCGGCAAUAACUCUGAAUCCCUACUAUGAAGGAAAUUUUAGGAAAUCAAUGAUUGGAGAUGAUCGUUUCAUUUCUAGUACCUUGAAACACUGGAAUUUCGGAUUUGAUGAUACAGGAAACAUAAUGGAAUGGUGUAAUGUUAAAGCCAUGUUGAAAAAGCCUCAUCAUCAAGUGAAUCUUGUAACUGCAGAUGGAAGUGUUGAUUGCGCGGAUAAUCCGGGUGAACAAGAAAACUAUCUCGCACCUUUACAUUGGUGUGAAACAAUAUCAGCCUUAUUAAUAUUAAGCAAUGGUGGUUCAUUUAUUUUGAAAAUGUUCACCCUGUUCGAACAUACUUCGGUUUCUCUUCUGUAUUUACUAAUGAUGUCAUUUGAAGAACUUCACGUAUUCAAACCAUGCACAAGUAAAGAAGGAAAUUCGGAAGUAUACAUAAUUGCACUUCGCUACAUUAAAACGGAACAUGUGGAUAACUUGUUGCGCAUAAUUCAGUUACAGGUUUAUGAAAGGAAAACAGAUGUUUCUUUGAAUGCUUUGUUUUCUUUAGACGAAAUUCCCGAAGCCUUCUUACAUGACAUCAUUAGCUGCGCGACGCUGUUCAAGAAACACCAGGAACACGCUAUUUUGCGGAACCUGACACUUUAUAAUAUCCCGUUCGAAGAAAAAGAGUUGGAAAUCAUCAAAAAGAAAAUUGCAUAUCGUUACAUGCAAAAGUACUGCUUGCAACGAAUUCCACUUUCAAAGCAAAUCGUGACCACUAAAAUUCAAAAAUUGACAUUUUUGGAUAUUCAGCUUGGCCGCAUUAAGCGUCAUAACAUAAUGUCUUCCUUCUUUAAUCUAAACGAAGUUUUACACUUACAAUCAGAACUGAUCGAAAUCAAUGAUCUUCUUGAAAACUUAAAAAUUCGAAAGUGGAUCAAUGUGGAAAAAGAAGAUUGGCAACAAAACAUAAAAUAUAUCCACGGGAAAUCCUAUGAUAUUUUACGAAACUCAAAAUUUUGUCAUGAGCAUAUUUUUUAUGUUUUUGAAAGCAUUGCCAACACAUCUUCAGAACCAAAAUUCAACUCUUCCUUUUGUAAUGCACUGCUCCAAAGAGAACAAACUAGUUUACUUAAUACUUUCUUAGAUUCUAGUUCCACGAUUCGCGAAGGGGAGGAUUUUGAACUAAAAAAACCUGUAUUGUCUAGAUUUGCUGUGGCUACUGUGUGGAUCAUGUCUCUUCUAUUUUCCCAAGUUAUAAAGAAGUACCCGAAAUCAUGAAAUGGAUGCGAGUUCUCGAUCAAGAAUUACUGAAUUUUGUCGACAUUUCAACUCUUUGCCGGGGCUCAUUUUCUGAUUUGAUAUUACUUUAUAACACGAAGUUGCUCUUGCAGUUUUCCUUGUCUUCAACAAGUACUAUGUCUGCUUAUUGAACACGAAGCAUUUCCUAAUUGAAUUUGAAGGUGUGAUCUAUUUUAAUAAAAUUAAGAAAAUCAUUA
rnacentral:misc_RNA from 1 species